UACGAAGGGGGCUAGCGUUGCUCGGAAUUAUUGGGCGUAAAGCGCGCGCAGGCGGUCCUUUAAGUCUGAUGUGAAAGCCCACGGCUCAACCGUGGAGGGUCAUUGGAAACUGGGGGACUUGAGUACAGAAGAGAAGAGUGGAAUUCCACGUGUAGCGGUGAAAUGCGUAGAGAUGUGGAGGAACACCAGUGGCGAAGGCGACUCUUUGGUCUGUAACUGACGCUGAGGCGCGAAAGCGUGGGGAGCAAACAGG
rnacentral:rRNA from 1 species